UACGUAGGUGGCGAGCGUUGUCCGGAAUCACUGGGCGUAAAGGGCGCGUAGGCGGUAUAUCAAGUUACAUGUGAAAUACCAAGGCUCAACCUUGGGGGGUCAUGUAAAACUGGUAGACUUGAGUGCAGUAGAGGUAAGCGGAAUUCCUGGUGUAGCGGUAAAAUGCGUAGAUAUCAGGAGGAACACCGGUGGCGAAGGCGGCUUACUGGGCUGCAACUGACGCUGAGGCGCGAAAGCGUGGGGAGCAAAC
rnacentral:rRNA from 1 species